rnacentral:sRNA from 1 species
AGAUGUUUCCGUUGUUUUGUCGAAAUAUGCAUUCACUAUCUGUAUUUCUUUUGGAUAUUUUCGUAAUGUUUACUGGUUUCUUUUCGAACACAUUAGAAUCACAAAUUGACAAAAUAAUAGAUAAAGCUAUACUCUUUUUUAAACUGUUUAUUAGCUUCACAAUGUUUAUCUCUCUUAAAUGUAAAAUAAAUUUUGUUGCGAUAUUUU